rnacentral:rRNA from 1 species
AGAGUUUGAUCCUGGCUCAGAUUGAACGCUGGCGGCAUGCCUUACACAUGCAAGUCGAACGGCAGCGCAGGGGGUAACUCCUGGCGGCGAGUGGCGAACGGGUGAGUAAUAUAUCGGAACGUGCCCUGGAGUGGGGGAUAACUAGUCGAAAGAUUAGCUAAUACCGCAUACGAUCUACGGAUGAAAGUGGGGGAUUCGCAAGAACCUCAUGCUCGUGGAGCGGCCGAUAUCUGAUUAGCUAGUUGGUAGGGUAAAAGCCUACCAAGGCGACGAUCAGUAGCUGGUUUGAGAGAACGACCAGCCACACUGGGACUGAGACACGGCCCAGACUCCUACGGGAGGCAGCAGUGGGGAAUUUUGGACAAUGGGGGCAACCCUGAUCCAGCAAUGCCGCGUGUGUGAAGAAGGCCUUCGGG